UACGUAGGGUGCAGGCGUUAAUCGGAAUUACUGGGCGUAAAGCGUGCGCAGGCGGCUUCUCAAGUCAGAUGUGAAAUCCCCGGGCUUAACCUGGGAACUGCGUUUGAAACUGGGAGGCUAGAGUGCGGCAGAGGGGGGUGGAAUUCCACGUGUAGCAGUGAAAUGCGUAGAUAUGCGGAGGAACACCGAUGGCGAAGGCAAUCCCCUGGGCCUGCACUGACGCUCAUGCACGAAAGCGUGGGGAGCAAACAGG
rnacentral:rRNA from 1 species